UACGUAGGCAGCGAGCGUUGUUCGGAGUUACUGGGCGUAAAGGGUGUGUAGGCGGUUCUUUAAGUUUGGUGUGAAAUCCCUCGGCUUAACCGGGGAACUGCGUCUGAUACUGGAUGGCUUGAGUUUGGGAGAGGGAUGCGGAAUUCCAGGUGUAGCGGUGAAAUGCGUAGAUAUCUGGAGGAACACCGGUGGCGAAGGCGGCAUCCUGGACCAACACUGACGCUGAGGAGCGAAAGCCAGGGGAGCAAACGGG
rnacentral:rRNA from 1 species